UCCAGACUCCUACGGGAGGCAGCAGUGGGGAAUAUUGCACAAUGGGGGAAACCCUGAUGCAGCGACGCCGCGUGAGUGAAGAAGUAUUUCGGUAUGUAAAGCCCUAUCAGCAGGGAAGAACAAUGACGGUACCUGACUAAGAAGCACCGGCUAAAUACGUGCCAGCAGCCGCGGUAAUACGUAUGGUGCAAGCGUUAUCCGGAUUUACUGGGUGUAAAGGGAGCGUAGACGGCAGCGCAAGUCUGGAGUGAAAUGCCGGGGCCCAACCCCGGAACUGCUUUGGAAACUGUGCAGCUAGAGUGCGGGAGAGGUAAGCGGAAUUCCUAGUGUAGCGGUGAAAUGCGUAGAUAUUAGGAGGAACACCAGUGGCGAAGGCGGCUUGCUGGACGGUAACUGACGUUGAGGCUCGAAAGCGUGGGGAGCAAACAGGAUUAGAUACCCUAGUAGU
rnacentral:rRNA from 1 species